AGAAGAGGGAAGAAAGUGGAUGGAGGAAGGAAAGAAAAAAAGAGUUUUCAUCUAAUUUCCCCAAAAAAAAAACUGAGGAAAAAAUUUUGUCAUAUACAAAAAAGAGAACUUUUGGGCAUAAAAAUCCGAAGAAAAGAGGUAGUGAGGAAGAAAUGAGAAAGAAGGGGAAUAGGAGUAGAAAAAUAAAAAUAAAAAAAAAGUUUUUUCUCUGUAUGUACCUGUUGUAUAUGAAGGGAUGAGGUUAAAAGUGGUGGAGAGACAGAGAUGGAAAGGGAGAAUACGAAGAAGAAGGGAGUACCAAAGAGGGAGAUCAAGAGGAGAGGGAAAAGAUGAGAAGGAAAGAGGAAAGAGAAGGAUAGUAAAUGGGGAAGAAGGGAGGAGGGAAAAGAAGGAGAAAAAAUAUCUUGGUUUCUCUAUGCAUCAAUAGCUAAAGGAGGGAUCAAGGCCACAAAAAGCUACAAAGGAGAUAGAAGAGGAAAGAAUUAUAAGAGGGCAUAACUGUAAGCGAAAAUAACUGCAAUCAUCUCAUCUUCCUUCUUUUUGUCUGCUGUAAUUUUUUAUUGGCCGAUCCUCCAACUAUUCAACCAUCAUCUUCUCAUUUUCUUCUCUUUUUUUUCCUCCACUUCUUUUCUUUUAUUUUUUUGCCAUUGGUAGAUCUCCAUUCCCUUCUCUUCUUCUUUCUUUUUAUUAUGGUGUCCCUUCCAAUCUUAAAUUUUCAAUGAAAGUUUGUAGAGUCCAAAGA
rnacentral:lncRNA from 1 species